UACGUAGGGGGCGAGCGUUGUCCGGAAUUAUUGGGCGUAAAGAGCGUGUAGGCGGUUCGGUAAGUCUGCCGUGAAAACCUGGGGCUCAACCCUGGGCGUGCGGUGGAUACUGCCGGGCUAGAGGGUGGUAGAGGCGAGUGGAAUUCCCGGUGUAGCGGUGAAAUGCGCAGAUAUCGGGAGGAACACCAAUGGCGAAGGCAGCUCGCUGGGACGGUACUGACGCUGAGGCGCGAAAGCGUGGGGAGCAAACAGG
rnacentral:rRNA from 1 species